rnacentral:rRNA from 1 species
AUUGAACGCUGGCGGCAGGCCUAACACAUGCAAGUCGAACGAGUGGCGGACGGGUGAGUAAUGUCUGUGAACCUGCCUGAUGGCGGGGGAUAACUACUGGAAACGGUAGCUAAUACCGCAUACCAUCGGAUGUUCCCAGAUGGGAUUAGCUAGUAGGUGGGGUAAAGGCUCACCUAGGCGACGAUCCAUAGCUGGUCUGAGAGGAUGACCAGCCACACUGGAACUGAGACACGGUCCAGACUCCUACGGGAGGCAGCAGUGGGGAAUAUUGCACAAUGGGCGCAAGCCUGAUGCAGCCAUGCCGCGUGUAUGAAGAAGGCCUUCGGGUUGUAAAGUACUUUCAGCGGGGAGGCGGUACCCGAAGAAGAAGCACCGGCUAACUCCGUGCCAGCAGCCGCGGUAAUUC